rnacentral:piRNA from 1 species
AUUUGUUGGGAUUACAGGAAUCAACGGUGGU